AGCCAAGCUUGAGCCACCAUUGGCACAUGUGAGAUGCAGGAAGUGAUGUAGAGAACAGCCUCUGGAGUUCUCAUCACUUCCUGUGGAGAGGGCUGAGCGCCAGUUCGAUCCUGGAACUCCAGCCUGGAACUCGAGCCUGGAGGAGCUCCCUCAGACAGCUUCCUUGAAUCAGUCAUGUGGAUUACAUGAGGUGGAUGGGGGGCAAGCUUGUAAAAGAGUGGUAGUGGUUGAGUGAGCAGAGAGAAGGAACGUAAAGGUAAACAUCCCAAGAUGUGACAACAGAUUGAACAUGUGAGGUGAGCCCCACUUAGUUGUCUAAAAGGCAGCUGGCUGGUGAUGCAGGACUGGGACACAGGAAAGAGAUGGAGGUUGCCUAUUGAAUGAGAAAAUAUUUGUAAAGCACUUUGAAAACCUUAAAGCACUAUGGAAGCGUUAGUUAUUAUUAUCAUUAUUAUUAUAUAGAUGUGGGAAUCACUUGCAUAGAGAUGAUCUUUGAAUCCACAGGCGCUGAUGAGAUCACCAAACAAGAUAGUCUUUUAGGAAAAGUCAAGAAGAU
rnacentral:lncRNA from 1 species